rnacentral:rRNA from 1 species
GGUGAACGCUGGCGGCGUGCUUAAGACAUGCAAGUCGAACGGGCUCUUCGGAGCUAGUGGCGCACGGGUGAGUAACGCGUAACUGACCUACCCCAAAGUCGCGGAUAACGAUUCGAAAGAAUCGCUAAUACGUGAUGUGCUGUCAGAUCCUGCUCUGCCAGUAAAGACUUAUUGCUUGGGGAUGGGGUUGCGUUCCAUCAGCUAGUUGGUGGGGUAAAGGCCCACCAAGGCGACGACGGAUAGCCGGCCUGAGAGGGGGGCCGGCCACAGGGGCACUGAGACACGGGUCCCACUCCUACGGGAGGCAGCAGUUAGGAAUCUUCCACAAUGGGCGAAAGCCUGAUGGAGCGACGCCGCGUGAGGGAUGAAGGUCUUCGGAUCGUAAACCUCUGAAUCAGGGACGAAAGACACUUUAUGUGGGAUGACGGUACCUGAGUAAUAGCACCGGCUAACUCCGUGCCAGCCGCCGCGGUAACAC